rnacentral:rRNA from 1 species
UACGUACCGUCCAAACGUUAUUCGGAAUUACUGGGCUUAAAGGGUGCGUAGGCGGUCCAGAAAGUUGGGUGUGAAAGCCCUCGGCUCAACCGAGGAAUUGCGCCCAAAACUACUGGACUUGAGGGAGACAGAGGUAAGCGGAACUUAAGGUGGAGCGGUGAAAUGCGUUGAUAUCUUAAGGAACACCAGGAGCGAAAGCGGCUUACUGGGUCUCUUCUGACGCUGAGGCACGAAAGCUAGGGGAGCGAACGGG